AUGGAAACCAAGGAGGGACCGAUCCUCUCGGUGUUGUCCAAGCGUCUCCACGCACUGCGGAAGCAGCAGAAUUGCAUCGCGCAGAUGGAAGAGUUUGUCGCGGCCGGCAAGACGCUUAGCCAGGAGAAGGAGGCGAUGCACUCCAAGCCUGUCCUCGCCGCCAUCAUCGACGAGCUCGAGCGCCUCCGUGCACCACUCGCCGCCGCCCUUGUCGAGGAGCUCUCCACCAUCUUCGCCCUGCUUCCGGUUCCUCGUCCAUCUAGGACCUCCUCGUCCUUUAGCUGCACUAUUUCCAUUAUGUCUUUUACUAGAAUCUUUGUGAGUUGUUCUAUGCGAGGUGUUGGCCGUCACAGUAGCUGA
rnacentral:rRNA from 1 species